AUUGAACGCUGGCGGCAUGCUUUACACAUGCAAGUCGAACGGUAACAGGCCGCAAGGUGCUGACGAGUGGCGAACGGGUGAGUAAUGCAUCGGAACGUGCCCAGUCGUGGGGGAUAACGCAGCGAAAGUUGCGCUAAUACCGCAUACGAUCUAUGGAUGAAAGCGGGGGACCGUAAGGCCUCGCGCGAUUGGAGCGGCCGAUGGCAGAUUAGGUAGUUGGUGGGGUAAAGGCUCACCAAGCCGACGAUCUGUAGCUGGUCUGAGAGGACGACCAGCCACACUGGGACUGAGACACGGCCCAGACUCCUACGGGAGGCAGCAGUGGGGAAUUUUGGACAAUGGGCGCAAGCCUGAUCCAGCAAUGCCGCGUGCAGGAAGAAGGCCUUCGGGUUGUAAACUGCUUUUGUACGGAACGAAACGGUCCUGGUUAAUACCUGGGGCUAAUGACGGUACCGUAAGAAUAAGCACCGGCUAACUACGUGCCAGCAGCCGCAGUAACAC
rnacentral:rRNA from 1 species